AUUGAACGCUGGCGGCAGGCCUAACACAUGCAAGUCGAGCGGAUGACGGGAGCUUGCUCCUUGAUUCAGCGGCGGACGGGUGAGUAAUGCCUAGGAAUCUGCCUGGUAGUGGGGGACAACGUUUCGAAAGGAACGCUAAUACCGCAUACGUCCUACGGGAGAAAGCAGGGGACCUUCGGGCCUUGCGCUAUCAGAUGAGCCUAGGUCGGAUUAGCUAGAUGGUGGGGUAAUGGCUCACCAAGGCGACGAUCCGUAACUGGUCUGAGAGGAUGAUAAGUCACACUGGAACUGAGACACGGUCCAGACUCCUACGGGAGGCAGCAGUGGGGAAUAUUGGACAAUGGGCGAAAGCCUGAUCCAGCCAUGCCGCGUGUGUGAAGAAGGUCUUCGGAUUGUAAAGCACUUUAAGUUGGGAGGAAGGGCAGUAAGUUAAUACCUUGCUGUUUUGACGUUACCGACAGAAUAAGCACCGGCUAACUCUGUGCCAGCCGCCGCCGUAACAC
rnacentral:rRNA from 1 species